rnacentral:lncRNA from 1 species
UUUUUUUCUUUUUUUUUUUUUGCGUGACAAGUUUUGAUACUGUACAUGCAAUUUGGAAUUUUUUAGAUGGCUAUUUGGUUUUAAAACUUAUGUUUGAAUGAUUAUUGGGGAUUAGACUUGUUGAUUUAUGCAAAGUAUGAAAAAAAAUGAUUGAGUAUACUAUAUUUUUCUUUCUUAGUUUUGUACAAAAGGGCAAUUUAGGAUGUUUGUUAGAAAAUCUAUCUUGUUGAGCCUACAUUGUUACUGAACAUUAAAAGUAGGGGAGGUAUAUGUAAUUUUUAGAACCUGAGGGGAGCUCUCUAUAUUUGUUAAAAACCUCAAGGGAGGUUUUUGAAUUAUCCGCAAUAAAAAUGGCAUUCAACAUAUAUUUUAAAAAUGGGAGCAAGCUCAUAUAAAAUUGAUAGUGUACAUUGAAAUGGUAGAUAUCAUUGAAUAAAAUUCAAAUGCAAAUAUAAGUGGUAUUAGCUUAUGGGGUAGGGAUGCUAGGAAUAUAAAUUAUUUACUGUUAUAAAUUUGGUAGAAACGAUGACUACAUGAAGAAUAGAGGUAUCGAUCAAGCAAUGCACCCUAAGUCAUUCGUACAACUCUACACCAUAGAAAAAUUUGAAAGUUUGUUUCGAUGUUAUUCUAUAAUUUCAUAGGAUUGCUAAAAGUUUAAAGGAGAAGAAACUUAUUAAAGUUUCUGUUUCAGAAGUAUUUGUGGUUGAAUUUAGUUUUUCUAAUUCUGAAGCUAACCCUCGGGUAUUAGAUGCCAAAAAUGCAUCUCAUAUUUAUGUGAACAUGCAAGGAUGAAAGAAAAGUAGAUGACCGAAAAAUGGUAAACUCUUCAUAUGCGCAGGCAAUGGUAGACAUGGUCAUGAUUCCAGAACUGCCGGUUCUAGUUUAAAAACUAACGAUUCCAAUCCUACUAAAAGAUGGAAUCUGAACUCGCCCUUAUAAGCAUCUUAAAACCCCAAUUUCGGUCCAAUUUUAGUUCCAAUUUUAUUUCGAUUACAGUUUCGAUUUCUUCCAAUUAUAGUUCCGGUUCAUUUAAUUAUGCUUAAACACUUGUUAUAAAAUUGAUUUUAAGAAAAUAUGAUAAUGAAUGUAGAAAAAAUAAGAACAUUAUUGUACUAUCUUGUUCAAGAAAAUUUUAAAAAAUGAUGCAAAUUUUAUGAAAAAAAUAUUAUGAUUGAUUAGAUUAGAUUGGUUUUAGACUUAAAUUAGUUAUGGGGUCUAAACUUACUAAUAGGAAGAGACAAUGGGCUGUUGGAGAAUUGGCGAUGCUGGUGUUAGAUGCUGAUAUUGAUAUUGAAUUUUGAAGUGGUCAAAUAGAUCUAGAUAGCAAUAUUUUUUUAUAAAUAGCUUGAACCGAUUCUAAGUAGUCAGUUCUAGUUCUAGUUCAAGUUUUCCUUUGGUAACAAUUAUGGUUUCAAAUCUAGUUUCCAAAUUUUCUUUUGAUUCCAGUUUGGUUCCAGUUUAAACCUAAACCGUGGCUCUCCCUAGGCAAUGGAGUAAGAGUUGCUCAUUAGCCAUAGGAAUUUACAUACAUUACCUUGUGGACUUACUUUAAGAUUAAGCAAUUGUUACUAUAUUUCAAUAUGGAUUGGAAAUGUCUCAAGAUACUAUUAUAAUCAUUUGAAUUGUUUGUGCGAACAAUUACACUGUCACAUAGAGAAUAAUUUAUCGACUCUAUCACAUAGAGAACAAUUACACAAGUAUAAAAAUCAAUUACACACUGUCACAUAGAGAAUAAUUUGUCGACAAGAUAAAAUAAUUAUCCAUCUGAAUUGUUUAUGCGAAUCAAUCUAGUAAUUUUGAUCAUUCUAUAACCAUCACAUACUUACAGUAAAUGAGAUCUAUUGCUUCAUUUAUAUAUAUAUAUAAAAAAGAGCCAUGAUAUGUGCUAGUGUAUCCCUAUUAACAAUUUUUUCAAAGUCACAAUUCCAUGAGGGGAGAAAAAAGGGUUUGUUAUGAGAUAUGGCCAUAGUUCUUCAGUAUCAGAUGUUUAAGUUGAGUACAUAAAAUGAAGAGGUAGUUUUUUCUUUCAAUACUUUUUGGUGGAGAAGUUGAAGUCCUUUGAUUAGGGUAAGAGCUAAUUAGGAGGAGUUGCAUGAUAUAUUUGAUUGGAACAGUAAUUAACGUGGUUACUGUAAUUGGUCAGAAAUUAAUUAGAAGAGUAAAUACGAAAUUAUAAAAAGUGAUAAUAAAAUUUUACAACAAAUCAAACUCUGCUCCUACUUUAUCAUUGUAGUGAUUUAAAAAAUAAAAAAUAUUAGUAGUAGGCUGGCGGAGUUUACAUCGUUGGUGAUCUAAUGAAUUAAAAUCAACUGAGUUUCAUUACAAAUAAAUUUUUAGACAAUGAAUAAGUGACUCCAGGGUAAUCCAAUGACAAAACAUCCCAUUUCAAGCAUCCUAAACUGCAGUCUGUUUCUUCCAUCGUUAAACUGCAUUAAAUUUCAAUACUCCUGGCAUAAUUUUAAACAAAUUUCCUGUAUCCCUAAAAAGUAGAAAAUCACAAAUCUGCUUUAACAUUACUAGAAGUACAUCAACAGUUAUGAAACACGGAUCCUUGUUUAGUUUACACGGGCGAACCAAUAUACAUUUCCAUGAUAUUACACUCACUCGCACAAGUUUAGCAUUUCAAUCCACAUACUACUGUAAUCCACUUUCUGCUAUAACAGAACAAUAAUAAGAUUAACAGGAUUAGGCAAACAAAACGGACCAGGAAAUAGCCAAAGAC